rnacentral:misc_RNA from 1 species
AAGUCGUAACAAGGUUUCCGUAGGUGAACCUGCGGAAGGAUCAUUAGUGAAUAUUAGCGCAUCUCUUCGGAGAGCGUGACCUCCACUUUCUAACUCUGUGCAUUUAUUUGGCGGUUCCGAUAACAAGACUUUAUUGUCUGGCUUGACGAACUGCGGCUCAUUUUAUAACACUAGUUAAAGUAUGUAACGAAAUAUCGAAACAAAAAAAAACUUUCAACAACGGAUCUCUUGGCUUGCU